AUGAGGAGCAUUGGAAGCCUGAAUAGGAUGGACGGGAAGAGCGGCAGUGGGUCGUGGCGGUAGGCGCCGGCGCCAAUGAGGCAGCUGUUCUGGAGGGUGAGACGCAUCGUGCUGCGGCCGAAGCGUCAUGCUGUGAGCUUUGGGUACGACCUCAAGAGCUACUCCCAAAACUUCGACGACAGCCUCGUUCUCGCCCACCGUCUCUAG
rnacentral:rRNA from 1 species